GACGGACGCUGGCGGCGUGCCUAAUACAUGCAAGUUGAGCGCUGAAGGUUGGUACUUGUACCAACUGGAUGAGCAGCGAACGGGUGAGUAACGCGUGGGGAAUCUGCCUUUGAGCGGGGGACAACAUUUGGAAACGAAUGCUAAUACCGCAUAAAAACUUUAAACACAAGUUUUAAGUUUGAAAGAUGCAAUUGCAUCACUCAAAGAUGAUCCCGCGUUGUAUUAGCUAGUUGGUGAGGUAAAGGCUCACCAAGGCGAUGAUACAUAGCCGACCUGAGAGGGUGAUCGGCCACAUUGGGACUGAGACACGGCCCAAACUCCUACGGGAGGCAGCAGUAGGGAAUCUUCGGCAAUGGACGAAAGUCUGACCGAGCAACGCCGCGUGAGUGAAGAAGGUUUUCGGAUCGUAAAACUCUGUUGGUAGGGAAGAACGUUGGUGAGAGUGGAAAGCUCAUCAAGUGACGGUAACUACCCAGAAAGGGACGGCUAACUACGUG
rnacentral:rRNA from 1 species